AUGGACACCCGGGUGCCGCCCGUUCCCAUGGAUCCGGCGACGGCGGAGAGGCUCCGGCGCGACGGCCAUGACCCGGAUGAGAUGGAGGCCGUCUUCGCCCGCGUGCUCUCCCGGAUCCACUUCGCCCUCCCGGACCAGUCCGUCUCCGUCGACGCUCGCCUCUUCGGUCUCCUCCCCCACGACUCGGUCGACUGCGUCAGCCGCCUCCCCGACGUGCUCCUCCGCAACAUCGUCUCCCGCCUCCCCGUGAAGGACGGCGCGCGCACCGCCGCGCUCUCCCGGCGUUGGCGCGGGGUCUGGCGCUCGGCCCCGCUCGUCCUCGUCGACUCCCACAUCCUCCCCGCAGGCACCGCGGCCGCGCGCGCUGACGCUCGUCGCGUCACCUCCGCCGUCUCCCGCAUCCUAGACGCGCACCCGGGGCCCUUCCGCUGCGUCCACCUCACCAGCAGCCACAUGGAAGACUUCCCUGGCCUGCUCGCGCGCUGGCUCCAGAUCCUCGCCGUCAAGGGCAUCCAGGAUCUCGUCCUCGUCAACCGCCCUUGGGCGCUCGACUUCGUUAUCCCCUCCACGUUCUUGGGCAUGACCACCCUCACCCGCCUCUACCUCGGCCUCUGGAAGUUCCCCGACACGGCAGGCGUCAGGCGCUCCACCUGUUUCCCUAACCUCCUUGAGCUCGGCCUCUGCUGCGUCUUCAUGGAGAGCAAGGAUUUGGACUUCAUCCUCGACAGGAGCCCCGUGCUGGAGAAGCUCUGUGUCCACGGGAAUCUUUUCAAGCUUAGCCUCUGCCUUGUCAGCCAAAGCCUCCGUUGCGUGAAGAUCACCGGGUCCUUCUUUGAAGAAAUCGCUCUUGUGGACGCCCCAUGCCUUGAGCGACUCAUUCUAACAGGAUGUUGGACACGCGGCGCGGUUUGCACCAAGGUGAAGAUCGGUCAUGCCCCCAAGCUGCACUCGUUGGGAUACAUGGAUCCAGGAAGUCAUGUCCUAGAGUUCGGCAACACCGUCAUCAAGGCUGGAACAAAGGUGAGCCCAAGCACCAAGGUACCAAGUGUGAGGAUCCUGGCUUUGGAGGUGCGUUGUGGAGGCCGCAAUGAUGUCAAGAUGAUUCCGACUGUCCUCAGAUGCUUUCCCAACGUUGAGACGCUCCACAUCAAGUCUGAAGAAAGUGGCCAACCCUCUGGCAAGAACCUUAAGUUCUGGAAUGAGUCCGGCACCAUAGAAUGCAUCCGCUCGUGCAUCAAGCUACUGGUUUUCCAUGAUUUCCGAGGGGAUCGAAGUGAGCUUGCUUUCCUCAAAUUCUUCUUUGAGGGCGCAUUGGUGCUGAAGGAGGUGGUGUUAGUGUUGGCCAAUGGAAGUUUCACCACAAUGGAGGAUAUUCGUUCCAAAGUGAAGCCUCUGAUGUCCAUGAAACGGGCCAGGGACUCCUCAAUCAUGGUUGAUACUAAUGGACGUAGCAUUGGGAACUUCAAGAGAGCAUCCGACUUUUCUCUUCUCGACCCUUUCGGGGACUACUGA
rnacentral:rRNA from 1 species